rnacentral:rRNA from 1 species
UUAGGAAUCUUGCGCAAUGGGCGAAAGCCUGACGCAGCGAUGCCGCGUGCGGGAUGAAGGCCUUCGGGUCGUAAACCGCUUUCAGCCGGGACGAUAGUGACGGUACCUGCAGAAGAAGCCCCGGCCAACUACGUGCCAGCAGCCGCGGUAAUAUGUAGGGGGCGAGCGUUGUCCGGAUUUAUUGGGCGUAAAGAGCUCGUAGGCGGUUUGGUAAGUCGGGUGUGAAAUCUCCACGCUCAACGUGGAGGGGCCACUCGAUACUGCCAUGACUCGAGUCCGGUAGAGGAGUGUGGAAUUCCCGGUGUAGCGGUGAAAUGCGCAGAUAUCGGGAGGAACACCCGUAGCGAAGGCGGCACUCUGGGCCGGAACUGACGCUGAGGAGCGAAAGCGUGGGGAGCGAAC